rnacentral:rRNA from 1 species
UCCUACGGGACGCAGCAGUGGGGAAUAUUGCACAAUGGGGGAAACCCUGAUGCAGCGGCGCCGCGUGAGUGAGGAAGUAUUUCGGUAUGUAAAGCUCUAUCAGCAGGGAAGAAAAAAUGACGGUACCUGACUAAGAAGCACCGGCUAAAUACGUGCCAGCAGCCGCGGUAAUACGUAUGGUGCAAGCGUUAUCCGGAUUUACUGGGUGUAAAGGGAGCGCAGGCGGCGUGGCAAGUCAGAUGUGAAAACCAGGGGCCCAACCCCGGGAGUGCAUUUGAAACUG